rnacentral:SRP_RNA from 1 species
GCUGGGCGUGGUGGCUCAUGCCUGUAAUCCUAGCACUUUGGGAGGCUGAGAUGGGUGGAUCAUCUGAGGUCGGGAGUUUGAGACCAGCCUGACCAACAAGGUGAAACCCCGUCUCUA